rnacentral:lncRNA from 1 species
AUCAAAUAUGUUUCCGUAAGGCCAGAUUCUUGGGCAAAGUUGUUUUAGCGAUCUGGUUGCAACUAAGGUAAACGUUUAUCAUGCAAAUAUUGCUCUCUCCUUGGCGAUACCUUGUUGGUAGAAGUAGAAUUUAAAAUAUAUUAUUGCCAUUUGCCAGCUGACCUGUGACACAGCAGCAGUGUAUUACAUUUUCAAUGAGCAGUCUGUCUGGAGCUGCUAGUGGGAGAAACUGCUUCCUGGUUUCUAGGGGAGGCAGAUGAUGAAUAAAUGAACAAAAAAUAUAAUAAUGGAUAUGUAUUUAUAAGUGCUAUGAAGAGAAGAAAUCCAAGCAAGAAGAGAGUGAAAUGAGGUAUCCUGUAAGAACAAAUUGCUGCCUCCUCCAGGUGGAAAGGGAUCAAAUAUAAUUAAUCUGUGUGUGCCACACAGUAGCUUGAUAGUUUAAUUGAGGAAUGUUGACAUAUUGAGAGCUCAGCAUUACUUUCUGCUAUCAGCAGUGACGGCAUAAGAGCUGUAUCCUAACUGCACUGCUGAAUUUGGGCUUCCUGUGGGGGCACGGCAAGUGCCCUCUUUGAGAGUGAGGAGGCUGAGAGUCUCACACCAACAGGAAUGAGUGCUUUGAAAUUAACUGGUGUUUGGAAAUUGAUCUGAAGCCAGUGCCUGGGAUUCUGAGAUGCAGCCACAUCAUAAAGUUUCAUUACUCAAUUGCAGUAGAGAAAACCUCAAAGGAACCACUUCUAAUGGAAACUGCCUCAAUUCCUGGUCAAGUCUCACAGUCUAACCUGGAGGUGCUCUGAGAUGUGACUAAGUUAAGGAUUUUGAGAUGAAGAGACCAUCCUGAAUUAUCUGAGUGGGUCCUGAAUGUCAUCACAAGAAGCCUUAGAAGAGAGAAGCAUGAAAACCAGAAGAGGAGGAAGAGGCAACCGGGCCAUGAAGACAAGAGAUUAGAGUGAUGUGGCCACAAGUCAAGAAGUGCCGGCCUCCAGCAAAAAACUGGAAGUCAGGAGCAGGAUCUCUCCUAGAGCCUGUGGAGGGAAUGUAACCCUGCCAAUAACUUGAUUUUGGCCCAGAGAAACUGACUUCAGACUUCUGGCCUUCAGGAUGGCGAGAGAAUUAAAUCGCUGUUGUUUUUAGCCCAGUAUGUGGUAAUUUUGUUACAACAGCCACAGAAAACUAGUACAGUGGAUUUUUAGCAGUAGAAUUAAAUUAGCAGUGGAUUAAAGAGCAGUAGAAUUGUGAUUUUAUCAACACUUACUGGAUGGCAGAUUUCCUCUGCAGCAGAAGAGAAUAAAAUGUUGCCUAGGUGAUGCUGACCACCAAAACUUCUGCCAUGGACUCAGCAGUGUGAACAGACCCUGGGAAUCUAUGUACACAUAAAACACCAUGAACAUUUUGCAUUUUCUGAUUUGAACUGAAUAGGCGUUCUACUCUGUAAAUAUUUACAAAAAAACUAAAUAUAUAUUUAUGUUAACCCUUUGCUAGAGAUUUUUAAACAAACAAAAAAAUACCAGAUCUUAUUCACCAUUUUUGAUGUCAGUAAAGUGUGUUACGCAAAUUGGCUUCAAAAAUUAAAACCUGUAACAAACUUUGAGUCUUGAAAUGCAUGCUAUGUAUGAUCUUAAAAACAUGUAGGUAGGCUUAUUAGUUCAUAGAGGUUCAUAGUAUUUCAUAUGUUUUUCAGACUAUAUGUAGGGAAUUGCUGACAAAUCUUGGUAUCACUAAAUCCAUUAUCAUGUUCUGAAAUGUCACCAAAUUGAGCCUACAUAUUGUGAAGAGUGAGUGUAUGGCCAUAUAGUGUAUGGCCUCAAGAUUUUGUCUUAUAAUUUAAGUUUCAAUGUCCACACCUCAUCUAAAUUAGGGUACCAUUUGGACUAUCAUGUUUAAUAAAUUUACCACUAAGUAAUUACAUUAAAAACAAAUUUAUCUUAAAGAUGUAUAAAUUGUUUUCAUUGAAGAAGGUAGUUACUUUGGUAGCCUGUUAACAAAGCCCUGGGAAUUAUAAGACUGUAUUUUCAUGGAGGCAUACAUGUGUAGUAAUUGUAAAAUGGUUCUGUUUUCAUAUCUGGAUCUUUUAUAUGUGUGUCUGAAUUAAGAAAUUCCCAUAAUAAAAUAAAAUCUUAAUUUAGCAAAAUUAAUAUAUAGAAAGAAAUUUUAUAAAUCAUAGACUUUUAAGAUGAUCAAAUAACCUUGCUGAUCAUCUAGUCUCACACCUUUUUUGUAGAAGGCUAGACUAAAAUUCAUAAAUGUAAAUGAUCUCUCUAAAGGCAUAUGGCAAGCUAUUGGACACACCAGGAAUAAAACCCAGGUCUUGGCCGGGCGAGGUGGCUCACGCCUGUAAUCCCAGCACUU